rnacentral:rRNA from 1 species
GAUUUUAGCGGCGGACGGGUGAGUAACGCGUGAGCAACCUUUCCUUCACAGGGGGAUAACGCACCGAAAGGUGCACUAAUACCGCAUGAGACCACAGAGUCACAUGACUUAGGGGUCAAAGGAGCAAUCCGGUGAAGGGUGGGCUCGCGUCUGAUUAGAUAGUUGGUGAGGUAACGGCCCACCAAGUCAACGAUCAGUAGCCGACCUGAGAGGGUGAUCGGCCACAUUGGGACUGAGACACGGCCCAAACUCCUACGGGAGGCAGCAGUGGGGAAUAUUGGGCAAUGGGCGAAAGCCUGACCCAGCAACGCCGCGUGGAGGAAGAAGGUUUUCGGAUCGUAAACUCCUGUCCUAAGAGACGAGGAAGAGACGGUAUCUUAGGAGGAAGCCCCGGCUAACUACGUGCCAGCGGCCGCGGUAAUACGUAGGGGGCAAGCGUUGUCCGGAAUGAUUGGGCGUAAAGGGCGCGUAGGCGGCCCGGUAAGUCUGGAGUGAAAGUCCUGGCUUUAAGUUGGGAAUUGCUUUGGAUACUGUCGGGCUUGAGUGCAGGAGAGGUUAGUGGAAUUCCCAGUGUAGCGGUGAAAUGCGUAGAGAUUGGGAGGAACACCAGUGGCGAAGGCGACUAACUGGACUGUAACUGACGCUGAGGCGCGAAAGUGUGGGGAGCAAACAGGAUUAGAUACCCUGGUAGUCCACACUGUAAACGAUGAAUGCUAGGUGUAGGGGGUAUCGACCCCUUCUG